GAUGAAGAACGUAGCGAAAUGCGAUAAGUAAUGCGAAUUGCAGAUUUCAGUGAAUCAUCGAAUCUUUGAACGCACAUUGCGCCCCCUGGUAUUCCGGGGGGCAUGCCUGUUCGAGCGUCAUUUCACCACUCAAGCCUCGCUUGGUAUUGGGCAACGCGGUCCGCCGCGUGCCUCAAAUCGUCCGGCUGGGUCUUCUGUCCCCUAAGCGUUGUGGAAACUAUUCGCUAAAGGGUGUUCGGGAGGCUACGCCGUAAAACAACCCCAUUUCUAAGGUUGACCUCGGAUCAGGUAGGGAUACCCGCUGAACUUAAGCAUAUCAAUAAGCGGAGGA
rnacentral:misc_RNA from 1 species